AGUGAACGCUGGCGGUAGGCCUAACACAUGCAAGUCGAACGGCAGCACAGUAAGAGCUUGCUCUUACGGGUGGCGAGUGGCGGACGGGUGAGGAAUACAUCGGAAUCUACUUUUUCGUGGGGGAUAACGUAGGGAAACUUACGCUAAUACCGCAUACGACCUACGGGUGAAAGCAGGGGAUCUUCGGACCUUGUGCGAUUGAAUGAGCCGAUGUCGGAUUAGUUAGUUGGCGGGGUAAAGGCCCACGAAGGCGACGAUCCGUAGCUGGUCUGAGAGGAUGAUCAGCCACACUGGAGCGGAGACACGGUCCAGACUCCUGCGGGAGGCAGCAGUGGGGAAUAUUGGACAAUGGGCGCAAGCCUGAUCCAGCCAUACCGCGUGGGUGAAGAAGGCCUUCGGGUUGUAAAGCCCUUUUGUUGGGAAAGAAAAGCAGCAGGUUAAUACCCCGCUGUUCUGACGGUACCCAAAGAAUAAGCACCGGCUAACUUCGUG
rnacentral:rRNA from 1 species